AACGAACGCUGGCGGCGCGCCUAAUACAUGCAAGUCGAGCGAGAAGGUGUAGCAAUACACUUGUAAAGCGGCGAACGGGUGAGGAAUGCAUGGGUAACCUACCCUCGAGUGGGGAAUAACUAGCCGAAAGGUUAGCUAAUACCGCAUACGCCCUGAGGGGGAAAGUGGGGGAUCGCAAGACCUCACGUUAUUGGAGCGGCCGAUAGCUGAUUAGCUAGUUGGAGGGUAAAGGCCCACCAAGGCGACGAUCAGUAGCUGGUCUGAGAGGACGGCCAGCCACACUGGAACUGAGAGACGGACCAGACUCCUACGGGAGGCAGCAGUGGGAAUUUUGGACAAUGGGGGCAACCCUGAUCCAGCAAUGCCGCGUGAGUGAAGAAGGCCCUCGGGUUGUAAAGCUCUUUGUUGGGGGUAAGAAAAAGGUGUUCGCUAAUAUCGGACACUAAAUGACGGUACCCGAA
rnacentral:rRNA from 1 species